GCAUUGGGCCUCCACAGGCCCUCGGCCGUAGCGAAAGUGUUAAGUGCUCCGCCUGGGGAGUAUGGUCGCAAGGCUGAAACUCAUACGGAAUUGACGGGGGCUCACACAAGCGGUGGAGGAUGUGGCUUAAUCCCGAGGCUACGCGAAGAACCUUAUCCUAGUCUUGACUUGCUUAGGAACCUUCCCGGAACGGAAGGGUGCCCGCAAGGGAGCCUUUGCACAGGUGCUGCAUGGCUGUCGUCAGUCCGGAU
rnacentral:rRNA from 1 species